rnacentral:lncRNA from 1 species
CACAGAAGUGAUUAAGUUCACCCAUUUUUCACUGAAAUAAACUUAACCACAGACCUUCAUCUUCACCCAACUUUCAUCUGAUGAUGAACAUGAAGCCACUCCUGACACUGCCAAAUAUUGCUGGAGCAAAGGGACAACACACAAACUGAGCAGGAUUUGAAAGAAAAUAGUGAAAAGAGAGGACUUUACUGGAAUGCUGGGUCAUUCCUUAGGACACUCAGCUCUCUGCAUCCCAUCAGGAGCCUGAAACAAAACAAACACAAAAC